CCCAGCCUUGUCCUGGCCGGCCACAACGCAUAACCUGCUGGCUUCCAGGUACCAGGAAGAGAUGGUGACUGAAGGGUGCCACUACAGGGUACAGCCUGGGAGAUCCCAGGACAGAAAAGAGAAAUCCAAGACAGAAGAGGAGGAUAGAGAAUGGGCAAGAGCAGGAGUGCCAGUCUACCUCUGGCUUUGCCUGGUCGGUGUGGACUAUUUUGGAGAGCUCUGACAAAGUGCUUGAUGGUGCUUCUAGCAGCCUUGGCCCCAGCUGCCCACGAGGACAUUGCUCUCCUGAGCUUCCUACUCUCAGCCCUGUGCUCUGUCACCUGGACACUGAGUCAACAAAUCAAAGGCUGGACCUCAGAGAGUUGCUCAGGAAGACAGCUUCUGGUUUUAACCAUCUUUACCUCAGGGUUCAAAGCCAACCCUUUGGGAGGCAUUGAAGUUGCUACAGGAGAUUUCCUUACGUCUGCAAGACAGCCAGGAUUCUACGUAAAGAGGCAGCAAGGCUGGCCCCUGCUUCGCUGAGUUGAAAUCAAACAUCGUCAUCACUAUUAUUAUUGCAUCCUUACAAGGAAGGCAGACACUCGGACUGCGAGCUCUUGUGUUAUGGGGACUGAUUGUUUUCCUGGUUCAUUUUGUAAUCCUGAGGCCAUUCUGAGCUUGGGGUCUAAGUGAAUGGAGGACACAUUCUCCAAGUAUCACAUUUGCAGGCAUUGUUGCUGGGAUUAUGGCGCUAAUUUCUCUCUAGCUCUAACUUUUCCUCCUAAAAGGUUGCGAUUUAUACCUCCGCCUGAAGUGCACGUCACCCGGUUGCUACUAUGUCUCUUUCUUAGGGUUUCUUUGGGGGGUGAUGAUAAGGAAAUCAUACCUACAGAGGAACGGAAUAGCCUUUGCCUCCUGAGGGGUUUCAGAUGCGGGCAGUGGAGAGGAGAGAGCUACUGGGGGAAAUUAAGCUAGCAAAAUGCAUUUCAAAAUCUGAUACGAAUGGGGUAAAUGUAUCAAUUCAUUUGUUCAUCAAAUGUAUCAAAGGGGUAAAUGUAUCAAUGUAUGAAUUGAUAUGAAUUGAUACAUACAUACAUACAAUGACUGAGCGUCACUGUGUGUUUGCAAAAAUCCUGCCUAUGGUAAAAUAAGUAAGAGAGAGAGAGAGAGAGAGGAUAGUAAGUUUAAAUGGGAGACGUUAUGUUGAAAGACCCGAAGCUGUCACUAUUUGACCAAUUUUGAUAUACAAAGGAGACAAUUGCACGUGGUUCAGCCUAGGAGCUGAGUGCCCGCGACAGGCGACACGGGGGUCAGGACGUGUGCAUGACCAUCGGCCGGAGCUGGCCCCAAGGCCAGACUCUGUGACAUCUACUCUUCCACGGUGGCCUCACAAUUAUCUCGGGGAGCACCCCUGAAAGCAGCUCCAGCUUCCCAAGGGGCAUCCUGGUGCCUGUGACCUCGACAGAGAAAAACAAAAAUCACAGGCAGAGAAGUAGCUGUUUAAACAUCCUUUGAUUCUCCCUCGACACUUAGUAAAUGCCUUAAAUGAAGCUGCAGAUGUUUUGCUGUCAACACAACGCUGUAUUAUGGUGUGUUAUUUUCCUGAUAGAAACAUUUUCUAUACUGUAAAUAAACACAGUUCUGUUAAUUAGUUAAUGA
rnacentral:lncRNA from 12 species